GGUCCCAUCGUCUAGAGGCCUAGGAUAUCUGGUUCUCAUCCAGAAGAUCGAGGGUUCGAAUCCCUCUGGGACCGCCA
rnacentral:tRNA from 2 species